GUCCACGCCCUAAACGAUGGAUACUACGUAGGGGACCCUCCAAGGGGUUCCCUUCCGGAGUGAAAACGUUAAGUAUCCCGCCUGGGGAGUAUGGUCGCAAGGCUGAAACUCAAAGGAAUUGACGGGGGGCUCACACAAGCGGUGGAGCAUGUUGCUCAAUUCGAUGCAACGCGAAGAACCUUACCCGGGCUCGAAGCGUACGGAUUAACCCUAUGAAAGUAGGGCGACACCUUUACCGGUGGAACGUACGUAGGUGUUGCAUGGCUGUCGU
rnacentral:rRNA from 1 species